rnacentral:sRNA from 1 species
CUGUUACAACGACACCUUUGAGUCUCUUGUUCUGAAUGGCAAUGUGGUGAGCCAGCUAUGGAUCCCGGACACCUUUUUUAGGAAUUCUAAGAGGACCCACGAGCAUGAGAUCACCAUGCCCAACCAGAUGGUCCGCAUCUACAAGGAUGGCAAGGUGUUGUACACAAUUAGUUUCCUAUCCUGAGAGUGAGAUGAUCUACAAGUGGGAAAAUUUCAAGCUUGAAAUCAAUGAGAAGAACUCCUGGAAGCUCUUCCAGUUUGAUUUUACAGGAGUGAGCAACAAAACUGAAAUAAUCACAACCCCAGUGGGUGAUCUGAAUGAGGAGCCAAGGGACCUCCCCAGGGUAGCUCCCAGAGCAACCCUGGAAACACUCUUCACACAUCCUGACCAAGUUCAGGGCAGUGAAGGCACUGCCAUCAUCGUUUCCAGAAUGUGGAUGGAGCCAGUCACCCAACCAGCCAUUUGUCGUGAGAGGCAUCUUGUUCUGCUACCAUGUGACUAGGCAGAAUAUCUGCUUUUGUUUCAUUUAUUGAGUCAGUCUCUGGAUGAGGGAAAGCUCAUGCUCAUGUGGCUAGAGCUUUGCUUGCACAGUAUUAGGCAGGGGCAGAGGGCUGGGCUACCUUAAAAAUACUUGCCUUUUUUCUUGGGGACUCUGGGGAAGCAGUUUCACUACCUUUGACUUGGGAGCCUUGCUCUUCUGCCAGCUAACCAUGGGCCUGCCUCUUGGUUUUCUGCACCUCAGCUUUUCCCAGAUAGGUGGGGACCCAUCAUCAAAAGUGACAGAGAAGAUAAGGCCCAGGGGCUUUCAAGUC